AUGAUCCCCUCCAACUGGACUCUCAGCAGGUUACGACAAUGCUAUACAACAUCCAGCUGAGAGUGACUCCUGUUCAGCUCCAGGACCAAAACAAGAGAAUUCCCUCGGCUGGUUUCCUAGAUACAGGAUGCUGUUAUAACAGUUGCUUCAUUUAUUCCCCCCUCAUUUUUUUUCUUUCCUCCUUGUACUUGAUUAACUACUGCACAGACAGAAGGAAUCCAAACCCCAGGUGUGCAGUGUGAGGGGGUAGAAACUGAAGCAACUGUUUUGCCUGGGCAAAACAAAACAAACGCUGAUUCAAUAGCAAUUUAGUUGGAGAUAUCCAAGGAAAUGAUGCAGAUCAAAGGGAUCCAAGAUUUUCAGACUAGAGGCCAGUUCAGAGAGGAUGAAAAGAAGGUAAUGAUCCCUAAUGGUUGCAGAGUCCAGGAGCCUAUGGUCAUAUGGAACCACCCUCAUAGUUAACGACAACAAUAGCUACAAG